rnacentral:rRNA from 1 species
AACGAACGCUGGCGGCAUGCCUAACACAUGCAAGUCGAACGAUACCUUCGGGGCUAGUUGCGCACGGGGGCGUAACGCGGGGGAACCUGCCCUUAGGUUCGGAAUAACUCCCCGAAGGGGGUGCUAAUACCGGAUAAUGUCUUCCGACCAAAGAUUUAUCGACUUUUGAUGGGCACGCGAUGGAUUAGCUGGUUGGUAUAGUAAAAGCCUACCAAGGCUAAGACCCAUAGCUGGGCUGAGAGGAUGAUCAGCCACACUGCGACUGGGACACGGACGAGACUCUUGGGGAAGGAAGGAAUGGGGAAUAUUGGACGAUGGGGGAGAGCAUGAGGCAGUAAGGCCGCGAGAGUGAUGAAGGAGUUAAGGUUGAGUAGCAGUUUUAAACGGGAUGAUUCUGACGGUACCGGACGAAUAAGCGCCGGCUAACUACGUG